AAAGAUAACCUCUAUGUGGAUGACUGGCUUUCUGGAGCUGAUUAUUAUGAAGAUGUAAUUCUGUCGUUCAAGCAAGCACACUAUGUAAUGGCUCAGGGAAAGUUUAAACUUGCUUCUUGGAAUUCAAAUGAUGCCCAGCAUGCAGGAGUGGACACAAUGAUCACUUGAUUAAGAAACAAUUAUUGGAUAGUUGGAGUUAGGAGGUUGGCCAAGACUGUUAAGAAGAAGUGUCAGUCAUGUCAACGUGUAGAUGCUCAGGCAUGUAACCAAGCUGGAGCCCCUCUUCCUGAAUUGUGUGUUCAUCAGGCACCCCUUUUCACAGUGACAGGUCUAGACUAUGCUGGACCAUUGUUUUGCCUUGACUUUCUAGGUGUCAAAUUUUACAUUCUAUUGUUCACUUGUGCGGUUGUCCGAGCAAUUCAUUAAGAGCUGACAGAUUCGUUGUCACAAAAGGAUUGUGUUAGCUCUGAGGCGUUUUGUCGCAAGGCGUGGAUUACCCACUGUGAUGUAUUCAGACAAUGCAAAGACAUUUGAUGGAGGUCGAAAAGAACUUUUACCCUUAUUUGGUGGUGACGUUCCAAAAUAGAAGAAUAUCACUCCACGAUCUCCUUGGUGGGGAUGAUGCUGGGAGCGUCUAGUUUGUUCAGUUAAAUGUGGUUUGAAGAAAUUAGUUGGAACUCGUUCACUUACUAGGUCUGAAUUAGAAACUUCAUUACAGGAAGUUGAAGCCUAUGUUAACUCAAGACCCUUGACCUUUGUGGGAGAUGAAGUUGAAACCACUAAGGCUAUGACCCCAUCACACUUCUUAAUAGGUAAAAUUGCAGGUUUCCAAACUAAAAUUUUGGAACUCUAGGUAGAAGUGUUCGGAGAAGAUUUGAGUGAACGAGAGCUAGUGCGACAGAGAUUAGAUUAGAUAGAGAUUAGAUUGUGGAGCAUGGAAUACAUACAGAAUCUACCCCUACUAUUAGUAAAUUUAAAGGAAAGGGUAAUGUGGGUCUAGGUUCACUAGUGUUAAUAAGGGAGGAUAAUGUACCACGUAUGAAGUGGCCGCUAGGACGUAUAGUAAAAGAAUUCCCUGGGAAAGAUGGUUUAAUUAGAACCUUUGAACUGAAAACUGCAAAGGGUAAUUUGAUCCGCUCAAUACAAUGGUUGCAUGAUUUAGAAUUAGGAGGAAGGUAUACUCUUCCACAUGUGGAUAAUUAUCAAGUAGAAAACACAGAUAUGCCACAGAAUACACUAGCAACUCGUAGUGGCCGGGUAAUAAAAUACAGUAAAACAUGCUCUAUUGUACUUUAAUAAUGUAGUGAUCCAUAAUAAUAUGAUACAAUGUAUGUUAUGGUGUAACUGAGAUCCACCUCUAAGGUGAGAUAAUGUAAUAUUCAUACACGAGUAUGAAAAAUAUUGUUGAUUCAUCACAUGGCGUGAUGUGAAAAUUUUAGAAAUACAGUACUGAAAAUUAAUUGCACUGAGUGCCUUUAUAUGUAUUACUGGAAAUCGGUCAGCAAAUGAUUGGAGCAUUGGCUCAUUGAAUAGCUCACUGGGUGAUGAGCAUUACUGACCGCCACUUGGGACGGUAUCCCUGUUCGUGAGGAAGUUAUCUAACUUCAGUUAGCUCUGUUUGAGCUUUUGAAAUGUUUAUAUGGGUUGCGUUUAAUUAUUGGUAAAAGUAAAUGAAAGACGUUAAGAUUUACACAUUUGACUUUACAUAGUUUAUUCAUGGUUUUAUGCAGUUCUUAACUAAACUUGAGGAGUUUACUAUGAUGCAGUGUUUAUUUACUUGAAUUAGAUUCAAGUUAAGUUGCUCUCCCAACAAUAAACAUAUACACUUACGCAUUGAAGUACAGUAUGGAGCUAUUGAUAUUAUUCAUUUGUAGUAAAGCAAUCAGAGUUACAUAAUCCAUUAUGAUUAUGUUGUCAAAUAAGUGUCUACCCACAUAAAGUAGAUUGAUAUUUGUAAUAUCAAGGUGGGAGAAUGUUGACGGUUGGUUUAAUGUUUGAUGUAUUUGGCGUCUCAUAGUUGUUUAUGUGUUGUAGAAUUUAUGAAUAAAUUAGUUGUGUUACAAGUUU